rnacentral:rRNA from 1 species
AAGGCACCUCCCCCAGUGGGCCUAAAAGCAGCCACCUGUAAAGAUAGCGUUAAAGCCCAAGAACAACAUGGCCGACAAUACAAACAAACCAAACCCAAACCCCUAUCCAAUAUUGAGCCCCCCUAUUAAAUAUAGAGAAGACAAUGCUGGAAUUAGUAAUAAGAGGGGUACACCCCUCUCCUAGCACAAUCGUGAGUCAGACAGGAUUAACCACUGACAACUAACGGACCCAAAGUGAGGGAAUAACAAAGAACAAAAAUCAACAAGAAGCCCCUGCCAAACCCCCCGUCAACCCGACACAGGAGUGCACUCAGGAAAGACCAAAAGGGGGAGAAGGAACUCGGCAAACUCGAACCCCGCCUGUUUACCAAAAACAUCGCCUCUUGCUAAUAAUGAAGUAUUAGAGGUCCCGCCUGCCCUGUGACAGCAAUGUUUAACGGCCGCGGUAUCUUAACCGCGCGAAGGUAGCGUAAUCACUUGUCUUUUAAAUGGAGACCUGUAUGAAUGGCAUAACGAGGGUUUAACUGUCUCCUCCCCCUAGUCAAUGAAAUUGAUCUACCCGUGCAGAAGCGGGUAUGGUAACAUAAGACGAGAAGACCCUAUGGAGCUUUAGGCAAAUGAUCAAGUACAACAAACCCUGUUCCCAAACAGAAUAUGGGGAAACAAACGCCCAUGAUCAAUAUGCCUUCGGUUGGGGCGACCAUGGAGGAAAGAAGAGCCUCCAAGUGGAACGGGAAGACCCUUCAACUAAGAAGAACAACUCGAAGUACCAGAAAUUCUGACCAACUAUGACCCAGGAC